rnacentral:lncRNA from 1 species
GAACAAUAAGCUGUAGCGUAGCUGAGCGUAGCAGCAUAAAAAAUAAAAACUGACAAAGUUUGUCAAAACAAACUAAAUAAUUAUUUGUUGUUUGUAAAUACAGAAAACAUUCUCAAGUUUUAAAAUACCUCUAAUAUUUAAUAUGGUAUUGGAGUACAGUCAAUUAUAUUUAUGGUAAUGCGAAUAUAGAGAUAUCUAUUGAAAACAUUAGGGCAUAGAGCUUAUGCAAAAUUGCGAGUUCCUUUAUAGUCUAUACCAUAAAGUCCAUAAAGAUUACAAAAACGCAAGGAAACAAAGAUGCGCCAUGAGAGGAAAUUACCAAAAGAAAUGGAUGUGAUCCUGAUCGUUUUAGAAAAGGAAAAAAUAAGUUUCAUGCUAGAAUUGAGGCAUCAGAAAGUAACUUACCUUCCUGCAAUCAACAGACACUUUUUUACUGAGCACCCUGGAUAUAAGGACCUUUUUACAACAUUCUUCCAAGUUUAGUGUCAGUCUAUAUAUUUGUGGUUUAUUAAUUCUUAUAAUUGUUUUAUAAGGGACAUUUAAGGCUACAAA